UGAGGGAUUGUGUGCGUGCUUGGCAGGCUCAUAACCUGAAGGUCACAGGUUCAAAUCCUGUCCCCGCAA
rnacentral:tRNA from 1 species